GGAGGAGCGAGGAGGCGACGGAGGCCCUGCUGAGGAGGCUGGACUCUGUGGACGUGGAGCUGGAGAACCAGAGGAGGACGGUGGAGAGGCUGCAGGAGAGAGGAGCCUCGCUGCAGCACCUGGGACAUCCCAACAGCCACCUGGUCGGCGAGUCUCUCCCAGGUGUCCCUGAACGCUUCGAGACUCUCCUCCGACUCUCCGCCGCUCGUCGCGCCGCUCUGGAAGACCAGCGCCGCCUCUACGUGUUUGAGAGGGAAGCCAAAGAACUACAAACAUGGCUGACCUCCAAGAAGACCCUGGCGGAGUCCAAGGACUGCGGGCAAGACCUGGAGGACGUAGAGGUCCUUCAGAAGAAGUUGGAGGUUCUGGUGUCGGAGGUGUCCGGUCUGGGUCGGAGCCGGCUGACCUCGGUGCAGCAGCUGGGCGGAGGGCUGCAGCAGGACCGCGAGGCCCGGAGGAGGGACGACGCCCUCAGCGGCCUGUGGGACGACCUCAACGGCAGCAUCAGGACCAGAGAACAGAACCUGAAGUCGGCGAGGGAGGUCCAUCAGUUUCAUCACGACGUGGACGAGCUGAAGGGCUGGAUGGCCGAGAAGGAGGCCGUGCUGGACUCCGAGGACCCGGACCAGGACCUGCACUCCAUCCAGACUCUGCUGAGGCAACACGAGGCGCUGGAGAGGGACCUGGUCCUGAUCUCCGAGGAGGCCACCAGGAGCCGAGAGGAGGGCCGGGCUCUGAGCAGACGGCAGCCUCACGUCAGAGCGGCGACCGCUCGGAGGCUGGAGGAGCUGGAGGGCUGCUGGACCGGCAUCCAGGACAAGGCCUCCCAACGCCGGGCCAGACUGGACCAGGUCCAGGACGUGCAGAAGUACCUGGCCCACUGGACCG
rnacentral:lncRNA from 1 species